rnacentral:rRNA from 1 species
GAUGAACGCUAGCUACAGGCUUAACACAUGCAAGUCGAGGGGAAACGACAUCGAAAGCUUGCUUUUGAUGGGCGUCGACCGGCGCACGGGUGAGUAACGCGUAUCCAACCUGCCCAUCACUUGGGGAUAACCUUGCGAAAGUAAGACUAAUACCCAAUGACGUCUCUAGAAGACAUCUGAAGGAGAUUAAAGAUUUAUCGGUGAUGGAUGGGGAUGCGUCUGAUUAGCUUGUUGGCGGGGUAACGGCCCACCAAGGCGACGAUCAGUAGGGGUUCUGAGAGGAAGGUCCCCCACAUUGGAACUGAGACACGGUCCAAACUCCUACGGGAGGCAGCAGUGAGGAAUAUUGCACAAUGGGGGAAACCCUGAUGCAGCGACGCCGCGUGGAGGAAGAAGGUCUUCGGAUUGUAAACUCCUGUUGUUGGGGAAGAUAAUGACGGUACCCAACAAGGAAGUGACGGCUAACUACGUG